AACGUAGGAGGCGAGCGUUAUCCGGAUUUACUGGGCGUAAAGCGUGUGCAGGCGGUUCGGUAAGUUGGAUGUGAAAGCUCCCGGCUCAACUGGGAGAGGUCGUUCAAUACUGUCGGACUUGAGGAUGGUAGAGGGAGGUGGAAUUCCGGGUGUAGUGGUGAAAUGCGUAGAUAUCCGGAGGAACACCAGUGGCGAAAGCGGCCUCCUGGACCAUUUCUGACGCUCAUACACGAAAGCUAGGGGAGCAAACGGG
rnacentral:rRNA from 1 species